rnacentral:rRNA from 1 species
GACGAACGCUGGCGGCGUGCUUAACACAUGCAAGUCGAGCGGUAAGGCCCUUUCGGGGGUACGACGAGCGGCGAACGGGUGAGUAACACGUGGGUGACCUGCCCUCAGCUCUGGAAUAAGCCUGGGAAACCGGGUCUAAUACUGGAUAUGACUCCAUGACGCAUGUUGUGGGGUGGAAAGCCUUGUGCGGCUGAGGAUGGGCCCGCGGCCUAUCAGCUUGUUGGUGGGGUGAGGCCUACCAAGGCGACGACGGGUAGCCGGCCUGAGAGGGCGACCGGCCACACUGGGACUGAGACACGGCCCAGACUCCUACGGGAGGCAGCAGUGGGGAAUCUUGCGCAAUGGGCGAAAGCCUGACGCAGCGACGCCGCGUGAGGGAUGACGG